GUAACAGGCUCCAUGCUCUCUCCACAUCUGUCCCUGUUGACAUGACUACGUGCAAAAAAAAAACCUCCAUGUGCCAUUCUGCAUCUCAUGCAGAGAACAGAUUAUUAUUCUAGAGAGCACGUUCUGGCAAGAUGCAGGAGGGAUCAAUAGUUGGCUUUCGCAGAAGCCCCACUCGAUUCGUCUCGGAGAAGAUCAAUGCCUCGGUUACUCAUCUCAUGCUGGAGAAGAGGCGCAGUCACCGACGUGCCGCCGAUGAGUCAGCGGCAAACCCCGAGCAGAGCACAGGCGGGUCAGUUACACCAGACCGGUACCAUAGGUCUGAUAGUCCGAUAACCUGCGGCCGAGAGAGAUGGCAUCUUCAGUCGCUUGGCAGCCAUGACGACCGUGUCAUUAUCUUCCCAAAACAGACAGUUAUAGUUGACAGUUGGCUGAGCUGCACGACGCUCACAAACUCGACCCACCGACACCGUGACGAGAUGUCUGCUUACAUUCGAAUACAAAUCAAUCAGGCUAUCCAGGACUAUAUGUCAAAAGGCUAGUUUAGUUUGCUUUCAUAGUGUGACAUCAUUCUACAGUGUAAUGUGUUUUUUGUGUUAGUAAGAGCUUGUGUAAAAGAUGCUCUGAGAAACCUGACUAGUGUAGCUCCCACUAUUUACCCGUUUCUUAAAUACAUAAGAAUAAAAUAAUUUCCUCUGUGUGUGUGUGUGCAUGCGUGCGUGAAUGUGUUGGGA